UACGUAGGUGGCAAGCGUUAUCCGGAUUUACUGGGUGUAAAGGGCGUGUAGGCGGGACUGCAAGUCAGAUGUGAAACCCAUGGGCCCAACCCAUGGCCUGCAUUUGAAACUGUAGUUCUUGAGUGAUGGAGAGGCAGGCGGAAUUCCGUGUGUAGCGGUGAAAUGCGUAGAUAUACGGAGGAACACCAGUGGCGAAGGCGGCCUGCUGGACAUUAACUGACGCUGAGGCGCGAAAGCGUGGGGAGCAAACAGG
rnacentral:rRNA from 1 species